rnacentral:rRNA from 1 species
UACGAAGGGGGCUAGCGUUGCUCGGAAUUACUGGGCGUAAAGCGCACGUAGGCGGCUCGUUAAGUCGGUGGUGAAAUCCUGGAGCUCAACUCCAGAACUGCCUUCGAUACUGGCGAGCUUGAGUUCGGGAGAGGUGAGUGGAACUGCGAGUGUAGAGGUGAAAUUCGUAGAUAUUCGCAAGAACACCAGUGGCGAAGGCGGCUCACUGGCCCGAUACUGACGCUGAGGUGCGAAAGCGUGGGGAGCAAACAGGGAUUAAGAAACCCU